rnacentral:tRNA from 1 species
GGUUGUGGCUCAGCGGUAGAGUGCUCGCCUAGCAUAUGUGAUAAAUAAAUAAAAUAAAGGUAUUGUGUCCAACUACAACUAAAAAAAUUUUAAAAAAAGAAAAGAAAGGGGUUUACUAUGUUUCAGGUAUUAUUCUAAUUAUUUCACAUACUUGUAUUAUUUAACCACUGCUUGGCUGGGGGUGGGAUUUAGAGUUAGAGUGCUAGCCUAGCAUGAAGCCCUGGUUUUGAUCCCCAGCACUG